GGACUACCGGGGUUUCUAAUCCUGUUCGCUCCCCACGCUUUCGCUCCUCAGCGUCAGUAUCGGCCCAGAGACCCGCCUUCGCCACCGGUGUUCCUCCUGAUAUCUGCGCAUUUCACCGCUACACCAGGAAUUCCAGUCUCCCCUACCGAACUCCAGCCCACCCGUAUCGUCGGCAAGCCCGCAGUUAAGCCACGGGUUUUCACCGACGACGCAAUGAGCCGCCUACGAGCUCUUUACGCCCAAUAAAUCCGGACAACGCUCGCGCCCUACGUCUUACCGCGGCUGCUGGCAC
rnacentral:rRNA from 1 species